UGCGCGGGGAGGUUGCAGUGUUCUAGGUUCUUCAGCAUUUCCAAACGUUGACAAUUUGGUCUUGGAGCUGCAUGUUCAGUGUGGGGUGUUGCGGGAACGGGUGGAGGCGACACUGUGGUGGGUUCAAGUUGAGCACACUCUCGAUCAGCAUGAGUUCUGGUGACACGAGGAUAUACAACUCAGAGAACGACAUGGAGCGGUGGAUGAUGUCCAGCGCAACCAAGUCGAUGAGCAUGUCGCAACCAAGUCGAUGAGCAUGUUAUUUGGCUGAUCAAAGGCAACAAGUUAAAGUCUCCUAAUACUUCUUACUGUUAGUUGUGAACACUUCAUUAAUUGGUCAGUCUUCUAGGGGUACAUACACCAUUGAUAUUUUCUGUUUCAUCAGUGAGUUAUCUCUUGACUGUAUGUGUGCUAAAAUACUCUUGCCUGCAAAUACUGCAACAAGCAGAACACAGGAGGACUCUUAUGUUUGGCAUUCCAGUAGCCAUUCUUAUCUGACGAGGAGAACAUCAACACAGGAGCAAUGUAUUGAUGAUCUCUAAGUCAUCUGUAGAAACACAACACAGACGCAAGGAAGGAUGGCGAUGCAGGGGCAAGUCAAGGAUGCUCCACCUGCUUCUCCCGCUGGUGCUGCUCCUCCCUAGCAAGGAUGGCGCGGCGGCACGCCAUGCCCGUUAUGCUAAUUUUCUAACAUAAGUAUACUCCCCGCUUAGAUAGAUUUCUGAAUAAUUAUAAAGCUUCAUGUAGUGUUCACUUCCAUUGAAAAAGAGUCCAGCACAUACUAAAGUUUUUUCCAUAGUAUACAUAGUCUUUUCAUUAUUUCAGUAUGGCGGUGUAGUAGAUGAUAGGAUAUAUUUUCUUACUACAUAUUAUGUCCACGCUGACAGUUCAAGGCUGCUUCCUUAUUGAAUUGUAAUGGUAUAUAUUUUUCUUGCCAUUUUGAACAGAAAACUGAUACAGAUACAAGCCAGAUCAUAAGGUUUAGCUCUAUGUAAGCCAAUUAAGUGAUAAUAUGCUGAUCCAAAUAAAGCAAGUACAAUAGUAAGGUUUAGUAACUUAAUUAGUUUGUAUGAUUGGGACUUGUGAUUUUGCAUUUUUCAACUUAUACUACUCAGGUUUGCCGUAGAUGUUCUACAUAGAAUCUAGCAUCAAAGCAUAUGGAUCUAUUUUCUUUAUGAAUCUGAACAUGAGAAUCUUGAACGGAAUGUAAAAUCCAAUUUAUGAAUAGAAAAGAAUUUUUUUUUGUCUUAGUUUACUGCAUGAUUAUGAUUAUUUGCUUCGUUUUGUCAUCCAAUGUACUUUGUUCUGUCAUGUGUAGUUGGAUUUUAGGCCUAGGUUAGAAGAAGCAUAGGACCGCAGUCCUAGGGAUUUUGUUUCCUUAUAUCUAUCAGCUGAACUACUGCUCCUCAAUAGCAAGCUCUUGGUCAGUUCCCCAUCUUCUCAUUCACUUUCCCAUGCCCUAUACGAUGGAAUAGAGAUAUCACAUUUAUGCAUUGCUUUUUUUUUCUUUAUUACAUUUCAUAUCCUCUAGGUACAUUUCUAGGUGAUGAUUAUAUAGAGGACCAUGUAAUCUGGACUCCAGAUAUUUCCACCACGUACUUGUGAUUACUUUCUACAAAUUGGUCUACAAGUUAUUGGAGAAAAAUUCGAGCGAAUGGAGAAUAUUUUUCCUCUCCCCCACAGAUGUACCAAUAGUGACGCAAGUGGAACGGGAGGGGCAAAUAAGUGUCCUGUACUUUAACAACACAGGAAGCAACAAUGAAGCACAACAUGGUGUCAGCUCAAAUCUAGAUGACAGAAGAAGCAUAUUUAACAUUUUAUGCAGACUAAGGGAAGGUGAGUAGUGAAUAUUGCAUUAUCGAUUACAUCUUUACUAUUGUAUUUGUUAAUUUCCUUGCAGUCUGGAUGUUUUUUUAUCGAGAAAACUGUUAUUUAAGUAUGAUAUUGGCUGAUGAAGACUUCUUCAUCCCAACAUUAUCUACGCUACUUUUGGAUCAAGGAAAACAAAGAUAUCAUAGGGAGCACAACAUGUAUACUCCUCUGGUGUGGCCUGCAAGGUCUGCCGCUUCACGUCGAGUUCGGCUGCCUGGAGAAGGAUGUGCUCCUGCAGUCCUGCUAUGGAUCGCCGCUUGAGGCGGUGAGCUGAAAAUUGUAUGCACAUUCCAAACUUCUCAUUGGAAUUUUUUAUGGCAAGUUUUACUGAUGCUCAAAUUAUUGUUCUUAGUUAUGGUAAUGUGUUCCAACUCUGUGCUAAUUGAGUUGAUUUGUAUUGCAGGAUUGUAGGCAUCUUCGGUGAAAAUUAGAGGAUAGAUUCAACCUUUUCUUCAUAUUAUCUCGGUAUGAUACGAUAUUUUUUCUCAUUGUUCGAUAGUUCAAGCUAACAGUGGGUCAAAACUAUGAAAAGAAGGCAUGGCAGAUUGGCAGGGUCUCCACACGGCAACCAUUAUGCAACGCAUCUUGUGUCAUGUAUCUCCACCCUUCGUUAUUUCUGUAUUCAUUGAUUUUUUGUUUCUGUUCGAUAGGGGUAUUUCUCAUUGAUUCGUCAGUUUUGUUACCAUACGAACAUAUGGCUGCAAAUGGCCGUGAUAGCAACACUAGACAGGUCCGUUCUAAGGAAAAACACUAGGUAAUUACUUCACAUUCCAUUUUGUAGAUGUGCACAGAUUGAAAAAUCGGAUGGCACCAUCUCCCUCUCAUCAGUUCACUACUUCCCUGAAAUUAUGUUAUUUCUCUGAAACCUCCAGUAUAUGAUUUAGGAUCAAACACCAACAAAAUUAAAUCCCAAAAAGGGGACUUCAUUAAAGAAUUGCUUCUUAACAACCUUCUAAAUAUUCCAAAAGCCAAAAAUUCAUACUUGAAUGAAUUUACUAAUGCAUUGUUUGUUCAGAGAUGUCUAAAUGGCACUGAUAUUUUAUUUUCUGCUUCCGUCUUACAACUAGCCGUUCAAUUACAUUUUAUGGUGAUUUUUUUAUAAUUAUACAAUGACACACUUUUAUGGUAUUUUUUUCUAAUAUACAAUGACACAUGUUUGGUAUAGGAUAAAUCAAAUGUCCUGCACUUGCACAACAUAGGGAUAAGUAGCAGAACACAAAACAUAGGGAGUGGUAUCAAUACAUUUAUUAAAAAAUGACAAUAUUGUCAGUGAUAUGUGUUGUUUGAGUUCUCCACUUCUGCGUGGUGUCAUAUGAAUCUAGAUGACAAAAUAAGCUUAUGUAAGAUUUGUGAUUGUCACCACCAGAGAAGGUGAGUAGUGCAUGAUUUAUUGCAUUUUGACUAUUUGAUAUGUUAGUUCUCCUUGCAGUCUAGAAUGUUUUUCUUAUCAAAAAAGGUUAUUUAAGCUAGAUGUGUAUAGUUGUUUAAAUAGGAGGGCCAUGUUUGCAGCAUCCCAUCUCUAUGAUAAAUAGGUCCACAUGUAUAACAUGGGAAGGUAAUUCGUUCAGUUAAUCAAGCAAGCAAAAAGAAUACUUAAUUAGUUAUAUUUCUAAAGUAGCCAUAUUUGACCAUACGCUCUUGAAAUGUGCUAUUGUAGUUCAUAGUUUAGUAAUUGUCUGCAACAUGAACAUUCUUUAGCAUUUGUCACCUCUUCAUACUAUUGAAAGGAAGGGCGUUCUGAUUUAUGUUCCAAACUUGGAGUUGGAGGAGAGAAGGGCUUAAUACUGGUGUUGACAUAAUUUUCGUGCUUUUAAGUUGUAGGAAUUUAUCUAUCCAAGACAUAGUGCAUUGCAGAGGGAAAAAUGGUCAUAGGGUUGAUAAAUGCUAUAACCCAUCUUUCUUUUGUUAUGAUUGGUGUGCAUUGUGUUUCACUUGCUUAAAGUGCGUUGCUACAGAGCUUCGUCAGUUCAUACUCUAUUCUAGGAGUUUUUGAUUGAUUCAGUUCACAUGAUAUUAAAGUAAGUGAAUUAUUCAGUCUAUUCAUAAUCUAUUUCGACUGACUUCCUCUAUCUUAAAAUAUCUUAUUUAUUUAUUUACUCACUUUAUCAUCUAAUCAUUAUUGGAGAUGCUGGCACUCUUCUUGGAGCAUAAUUAAAUGGAAAUUAGAAGAAAAAUAGGUGCUUCAUAUUUGCUAAUGUAAGCCUAGAAUCAAUCUUCAUUUUCAAAGUGUCUCCAUGAUGUUAUUUUCUACAUACUAUCUCUGUUGUAACACAUAACGUGGGAUUUUGAGUUUUCAAGUAGUGCCUGUGGAUUUUAAAAAGUAUUUUAAUGUUUGACCAUUGAACUUUGGUACGGUUUUAUUGCUACCAUGAAUUUCUCAUCAGCCUUUCUAUCAUUUGGCAGUUGUUUGUUUCCAAUUAUUCCAAGUAUAUUGCAUAUGAAUCAAGCAAUGGGUCUUGAUAUGCUAGCAGUAGUCCCAUCACUGGAGAGUGCAGUUGACUGCAAGGCCAUAAUAACUGUAUCCACUCAAUUCUGGCUCUGGCAUCUUAUGAUGAUCUGCAUGUGUACAUCUUGUCAUAGUUAUCUUUGGCAUCUCUGUACCAUACGUAUG